AAUAGAUACCCCGGUAGUCCAUGCCGUAAACGUUGGGAACUAGAUGUGGGGACCAUUCCACGGUCUCCGUGUCGCAGCUAACGCAUUAAGUUCCCCGCCUGGGGAGUACGGCCGCAAGGCUAAAACUCAAAGGAAUUGACGGGGGCCCGCACAAGCGGCGGAGCAUGCGGAUUAAUUCGAUGCAACGCGAAGAACCUUACCAAGGCUUGACAUAUACCGGAAAGGUCUGGAAACAGUCCCCCCGCAAGGUCGGUAUACAGGUGGUGCAUGGUUGUCGUCAGCUCGUGUCGUGAGAUGUUGGGUUAAGUCCCGCAACGAGCGCAACCCUCGUCUUAUGUUGCCAGCGGUUCGGCCGGGGACUCAUAAGAGACUGCCGGGGUCAACUCGGAGGAAGGUGGGGAUGAGGUCAAAUCAUCAGUGCCCCUUAUGUCUUGGGCUUCACGCAUGCCACAAUGGCCGGUACAAAGGGCUGCAAUACCGCGAGGUGGAGCGAAUCCCAAAAGCCGGUCUCAGUUCGGAUUGAGGUCUGCAACUCGACCCCAUGAAGUCGG
rnacentral:rRNA from 1 species